UGUGAACUUAAAAAAAAAAAAAACUUUUACAAAUCUUGUAAUAGACCUCAUUUGGUGGACGUAUGCCAUCGUUGAGGAGUUGAAGUCUUCAGGUGGCUGUGAAAUUCACAUCGAAGACAGAAAUCUAGUCAUAUCUCAGCCUUCCUGACCAUCCCAGUACAGUUCCUCCAGAGCUGGCUUUGACAGUCACGACCAAUCAAGACCCCGCUGUCUCCACAUCAUAGAGCUGCUGGACUGCAGGAGCAUCCCGACCAGCCCUCGUCCUGCAUGGACAUCACGGCAAGCUCUUCAGUGAGCAGGUGAUUGACGCUGAUGUCGUUUGCUCUUCCAUAGGGACAUUAAGAUGUACAACCUUGUGUUCAACACAGAGACCAUGGAGGUCAAACUGUUCGAUUUCAGUGCUGGGGACCUUCUGAAGAGCACGCCUCAAAUCUCCUUCAGUGGGACAGCAAAUUUCUGUCCUCCUGAGUACUUUGAGAAGUAUGAGUACAGCGGGAAGCUGUGUGUGCUGCUGUUUAGCACAAUGACCAACCGUUAUCUGUACAGCAGCGAUAUAAAAAUGAUGCGCCGCUGAUGUCUGGAUCGAACCCAGCUUCUCAGAUGAAUGCUGCCGUUUUUUCUUGUGGUUGCCCAAGGAGCAUCCCGGAGCAGAGGGUUCAUCUGGAGGAGAUAGGCUCACAUGACUGGUUCAAGGUCCUGUAGGUCGUGGUGAAGAGGGACAGUCUUGUGUCUGGAGGACAUGCCCGUCCUAUCCACCAUAAAGGCUCCUCUCAUGAUGGUAAAGAACAAUAAAAUUGUUCCAGCAAAGUCGUUCCCAGUGUUUGCAGUCACAGCUUCAGUUGGUGUUCAAGGCUGCUCGAGUCCCAGAGCUCCUCUCUCAACCUCCCUGCUCUGAGGUUCCUGCUAAAGCAGCUCUAGUCCAAGAGGAUCCUAUCAAUGCCCCAGUGUUUCCUCUCACUGCUGUGAUUCCUCCAUAAAGAUACUAGACCUGUGAGCAACAUUAAAAGAAGACUG